rnacentral:rRNA from 1 species
AAAGACUUGACGGUACUUCACAACAACCUAGAGGAGCCUGUCUAAUAACCGAUACCCCACGAUCAACCCAACCCACCCUAGCCCAUCAGUCUAUAUACCGCCGUCACAGCUUACCUUGUGAAAGAAACAAAGUGAACCUAACAGACUACCCCUAGUACGACAGGUCGAGGUGUAACAAAUGGGUGGGUAAAAGAUGGGCUACAUUUUCUUCAAGCAGAAAAUACGAAUUAACCAUGAAACUAGAAACUGAAGGCGGAUUUAGCAGUAAGCUAAGGACAAAAUACUUAACUGAAACUAAUGCAAUGAAGUGCGUACACACCGCCCGUCAUCCCUG